GCCUGGAAAAAUCCCAUGGACGGAGGAGCCUGGUAAGCUACAGUCCAUGGGGUCGCAAAGAGUCGGACACGACUGAGCUACUUCACUUCACUUCACUUCACUUCCGGCCUCCCAGUGCUCAACUUCCUGGGAGGCCCGCCCUGCUUCUGCGCUCUGCCUUCCGUUUCCUUUUUAAGGCGGCCCUGGUUUUGAGCAGUUUCCUGUGUGAGAAGGUCGGCUGGCGCACGCGGCCUCGUGUGAUUAUGUAGGGCCAGGUGGAGGGCAGAGCUGCAAUUCUGCUGCCCCUUGGGAACUCGAGGAGGGAAGCCAUGUGGACAGUCAACACUGCUAAAAAGAAUUCAACAUUCUUCUCUCACCUAAUGAUUGCAUACGAUUUCAGCAAGUUCAAGGGAACCACAUUCAUGGUUACUGUAUAAACAUGGCAUAUACAGGACUCAGUAGGAUGCACCAGGCUCUUUUCUACACGUGUUUUGCCUGAUGACUUA